UGAAUACGAGACGCUACGGCGUCGAAGCAGUCUAUGUCAUACUUCCAAGAAAAGCUUGCACUGUCAUAAACAAAUAAUGCCUGUACCAUAACCGACACAGGUGGGUAGGUAGAGUAUACUAAGGGGCGCGAGAUAACUCUCUCUAAGGAACUCGGCAAAAUGACUCCGUAACUUCGGGAGAAGGAGUGCCUUAUUUAUAAGGUUGCAAUAACAAGAUCCAAGCAACUGUUUAUCAAAAACACAGGUCUCCGCUAAGUCGUAAGACGAUGUAUGGGGGCUGACGCCUGCCCAGUGCCAGAAGGUUAAAGAAGUUGGUUAGCAUUAGCGAAGCUGAUAACUGAAGCCCUGGUGAACGGCGGCCGUAACAAUAACGGUCCUAAGGUAGCGAAAUUCCUUGUCGGGUAAGUUCCGACCCGCACGAAAGGCGUAAUGAUUUGGAUACUGUCUCAGAGAGGGGCUCGGUGAAAUAGACUUGUCUGUGAAGAUGCGGACUACCUGCACCAGGACAGAAAGACCCUAUGAAGCUUUACUGUAACUUGGAAUUGAAAUUGGACUUUAUUUGCGCAGUAUAGGUGGGAGGCAUUGAUAAUAUUCUUGCGGGAAUGUUGGAGCCAUCAGUGAGAUACCACUCUUGUAAUGUUAGAUUUCUAACUUUGGAUCAUUAUCUGGUCAAAGGACAGUUUCAGGCGGGCAGUUUGAUUGGGGCGGUCGCCUCCUAAAUGGUAACGGAGGCGCACAAAGGUUUCCUCUGAACGGGUAGAAAUCGUAUCUAGAGUGUAAAGGCAUAAGGAAGCUUGACUGUGAGACCUACAAGUCGAGCAGGGACGAAAGUCGGUCUUAGUGAUCUGACGGUGCUGAGUGGAAAGGCCGUCACUCAACGGAUAAAAGUUACUCUAGGAUAACAGGCUGAUCUCCCCCAAGAGUUCACAUCGACGGGGAGGUUUGGCACCUCGAUGUCGGCUCAUCGCAUCCUGGGGCGGUAGUACGUCCCAAGGGUUGGGCUGUUCGCCCAUGAAAGCGGUACGCGAGCUGGGUUCAGAACGUCGUGAGACAGUUCGGUCCAUAUCCGGUGUAGGCGUUAGAAUAUUGAGAGGAGCCUUCUUUAGUACGAGAGGACCGAGAAGGACAUACCUCUGGUGUACCAGUUAUCGUGCCAACGGUAAACGCUGGGUAGCUAUGUAUGGAGAGGAUAACCGCUGAAAGCAUCUAAGUGGGAAGCCCACCUCAAGAUAAGUAUUCUC
rnacentral:rRNA from 1 species